GACGAACGCUGGCGGCGUGCUUAACACAUGCAAGUCGAACGAUGAAGCUGGAGCUUGCUCUAGCGGAUUAGUGGCGAACGGGUGGGUAACACGUGAGCAAUCUGCCCUUGACUCUGGGAUAACUGCGGGAAACUGUAGCUAAUACCGGAUACGACCCUCGGCGGCAUCGCCAGGGGGUGGAAAGAAUUUCGGUCAAGGAUGGACUCGCGGCCUAUCAGCUAGUUGGUGAGGUAACGGCUCACCAAGGCGACGACGGGUAGCCGGCCUGAGAGGGUGACCGGCCACACUGGGACUGAGACACGGCCCAGACUCCUACGGGAGGCAGCAGUGGGGAAUAUUGCACAAUGGGCGCAAGCCUGAUGCAGCAACGCCGCGUGAGGGAUGACGGCCUUCGGGUUGUAAACCUCUUUUAGUAGGGAAGAAGCGAAAGUGACGGUACCUGCAGAAGAAGCACCGGCUAACUACGUGCCAGCAGCCGCCGUAA
rnacentral:rRNA from 1 species